UAGUCCACGCCGUAAACGAUGUCUGCUAGCCGUUGGCGAGUUUAACUUGCUAGUGGCGCAGCUAACGCGAUAAGCAGACCGCCUGGGGAGUACGGCCGCAAGGUUAAAACUCAAAUGAAUUGACGGGGGCCCGCACAAGCGGUGGAGCAUGUGGUUUAAUUCGACAAUAAACGGGGAAUCUCACCCAGACUUGACAUCCUAAGAAUCUCUCAGAAAUGAGAGAGUGCCUUUACGGGAACUUAGUGACAGGUGCUGCAUGGUUGUCGUCAGCUCGUGCCUUGAGGUGUUCGGUUAAGUCCGUUAACGAGCGCAACCCUUAUCCUUAGUUGCCAGCACGUAAUGGUGGGGACUCUAGGGAGACUGCCGGCGCAAGCCGUGAGGAAGGUGGGGACGACGUCAAAUCAUCAUGGCCUUUAUGCCUAGGGCUACACACGUGCUACAAUGCACUAUACAAAGCGACGCAAACUCGCGAGAGUAAGCAAACCGCACAAAGUAGUGCCCG
rnacentral:rRNA from 1 species